rnacentral:rRNA from 1 species
CCUACGGGGGGCUGCAGUCGAGGAUAUUUUUCAAUGGGCGCAAGCCUGAAAAUGCGACGCCGCGUGCGGGAUGAAGGCCUUCGGGUCGUAAACCGCUGUCAGGCCGGGCGAAUACCUGUUCGGUUAAUACCCGAAUCGGUUGACGGUACGGCCAGAGGAAGCCACGGCCAACUCCGUGCCAGCAGCCGCGGUAAUACGGAGGUGGCGAGCGUUGCUCGGAUUCAUUGGGUGUAAAGGGUCGGUAGGCGGUCCAAUAAGUGCCCGGUAAAAUCCCACGGCUUAACCGUGGAACGCCCGGGUAGACUGCUGGACUUGAGGGCUGGAGAGGCAAGCGGAAUUCCCGGUGUAAGAGUGAAAUCUGUAGAUAUCGGGAGGAACACCAGUGGCGAAGGCGGCUUGCUGGACAGCACCUGACGCUGAGCGACGAAAGCGUGGGGAGCAAACAGGAUUAGAUACCCCAGUAGUC